rnacentral:rRNA from 1 species
UACGUAGGGUGCGAGCGUUGUCCGGAAUCACUGGGCGUAAAGGGCGCGUAGGCGGCUGGGGAAGUCGGCGGUGAAAGCCCGGAGCUCAACUCCGGGUCGGCCGUCGAGACUCCUCGGCUCGAGCUCACUAGAGGCAGAUGGAAUUCCGGGUGUAGCGGUGGAAUGCGUAGAGAUCCGGAAGAACACCGGUGGCGAAGGCGGUCUGCUGGGGUGAGGCUGACGCUGAGGCGCGACAGCGUGGGGAGCAAACAGG